CUGUCUCACUAUUCAUCAAGACGUGAUGUUAUAACUCGUGAUGGGUGAGAUGAUUGGACUCUCUGUAGUUAUGUUUUAAGAAAUAUAUCGCAGUUAGCUAUUGUGUUAUUUCAAAGCUUCACGACACUGGAUUGGUCUCACGGACGAGGUGACUGAAGGCAUCUGGACACUUAACCCGCACGAAAAAGUUGCCUACUUCUUAGAUUGGAGUCAUCACCCGGUUUUGCCGCAACCCAACGACGGCAUGUACGCAAACUGUGCCGCCUUCUUCGAUGAUCAAGACUACUACUGAGUUGAUCAACCUUGCAGCAAAAAGAUAAUUCAAUAUGUGAAAUGCCCGCGGAGGCCAACAUGGCCGCAUCGUUAAGAAGACGUGACAAAUCACUAGUUCUUAUCAGAUCUACCCGCAGACUCCUCACUUCUGACUACACCUCUACAUUUUGUCUACCGGGUAAUUUGCAUAAUUUUUUUUUUAUAACUUUGAUUGGUCCUUAGCUAACGUGCUUAUUGCUGAUUAGUUGACUUGCUGGAAUAUACUAGAAAAAACAAUUAAUUCAUGUAUUUACAUGCUUGCCAACUACUACAAAAUCUAAUUACUUGGUAUUGGUAUAAAGUUUUACUGUUAUGGUUGUCGGUGCAAUAUUUUGUGUAACCUAUGCAAAUAAGACUUUUUGGUGACCCGUUCAUCUGUGCUAUUUCAAUAACUAUGUGAAGUAAUACUAAUCUCAUGUCUAUAUGCUGACCCUUUCGUUAAUUGAACUCAUUGUGAAGUAUAUGGUCCCUCGAUUCUCUUAUCUAAAUGACUUUUCAAUUUGUUGACUAAGUCUACAUCACCAUGAAUAGAGAGAUCUUAAUUCAAGUUCUAGUUUAUGUGUACUCUUAGAUUAUUUGUAAAUGACCAAUA